rnacentral:tRNA from 1 species
GCCGGGUCGUCUAGCGGCCAAGGAUGCGGGGCUUUGGUCACCCCGUGACCGGGGUUCGAAUCCCCGCCCGGCUAC